GCAACACGGUGGCCGCAACCAGCGCAAAACCGUGCCUCCGAGAAACUUCCUAAUCUGGGGGCCACUGGUUCGAAUCCAGUCGGGUGCACCA
rnacentral:tRNA from 1 species